rnacentral:rRNA from 1 species
GGAAUCUUCGGCAAUGGGGCGAACCCUGACCGAGCAACGCCGCGUGAGUGAAGAAGGUUUUCGGAUCGUAAAGCUCUGUUGUAAGAGAAGAACGUGUGUGAGAGUGGAAAGUUCACACAGUGACGGUAACUUACCAGAAAGGGACGGCUAACUACGUGCCAG